AAGUAUCUGUCAUCUGCCUGCUGAUAUGGCCUUCAGAAGAAAGCCUGUUCUGCAGCCCUCAUCACUAGUGAUACACAAACAUCUGUGACAGUACCCAUGUCUCCUGGAUUUUGUCUUCCAGGAAAUUUGUCUCAUGAGGAUUAGAAGUGCUGCCAUCUGCAAUACAGACAUUUCUAUCAGCGGAUAUGACCAGGAAAACCUACUGUUUCUUUCAUGUACCUGUGAGUUUCAUGACAGGGCUGGAUCUUCAGGGGGGACACCUGAUCAGGGAUCCCAUAAAGCUCUAGCAAGGACCACAGCUGUGAGGGAGGACAUGCUGCACCACCGCGUACAUCGUGCCCUGCAAGGGAACCCGCGUGCCAGCCAGGAACCUACUGAAGACUACUUUGAAGUUAAGUCCUGGUUUUUUUUUGUCCUUAUUUCAUGUCUCAGGAUGAUCUCAGUCUUAAGGUGUUUUUUUUUUUGUUUUGUUUUGUUUUUUUUAAGGUUGCUUAAAUGA
rnacentral:lncRNA from 1 species